AUGAUGCAUCUCCCAAUUCAUCUUGCUGAAGAGGCCCGAUUGGGAGGGCCUGUCUUGUACAGAUGGAUGUAUCCAAUUGAGCGAUACUUGCGUAUGCUCAAAGGAUAUGUGCGUAAUAAUGCUCAACCAGAAGGUUCUAUUGCAGAGGGGUACAUACUUGAAGAGUGCAUGACUUUUUGCAGUCGAUUCGUUGAUGGAAUGCCUACCAAGCUAAGUCAGUCCGAACAUCAUGAAGACGGAGGUACAGAUCAACCAUCAACAGGAAUUAGCAUCAUGAGUACAGUUGAUUACUCCAAGAAAGGUUUUUUUUGUGAAUCAUUGUCUUUGGCUGAGAUUAAUCAAAUGAGGCAUUUCAUAAUAACAAACUGUGAGGAAACUGUGCCAUGGAUUGAUGAACAUCUUGAGGAGCUGACAAGUAAAAAUUCUCCUAAUCCUAAAAGGCAGCACAAGGAAGAGUUUGUUGGCUGGUUUGAGAGACGGAUCACAGAACUCCACAAUGAUGGGAAGGUGUGA
rnacentral:rRNA from 1 species